rnacentral:sRNA from 1 species
CUCUGCCCUCAUGCGCAUCCUCAUGCGCUCCCGCGUGCUCAACGAGGAGCCCCUGAUGCUGGCGGGCGAGGAGAUCGUGGCCCAGGGCAAGCGCUCGGACCCGCGGAGCCUGCUGUGCUAUGGCGGCGCCCCAGGGCCUGGCUGCCACUUCUCCAUCCCCGAGGCUUUCAGCGGGGCCCUGGCCAACCUCAGUGACGUGGUGCAGCUCAUCUUUCUGGUGGACUCCAAUCCCUUUCCCUUUGGCUAUAUCAGCAACUACACCGUCUCCACCAAGGUGGCCUCGAUGGCAUUCCAGACACAGGCCGGCGCCCAGAUCCCCAUCGAGCGGCUGGCCUCAGAGCGCGCCAUCACCGUGAAGGUGCCCAACAACUCGGACUUGGCUGCCCGGGGCCACCGCAGCUCCGCCAACUCCGUUGUGGUCCAGCCCCAGGCCUCCGUCGGUGCUGUGGUCACCCUGGACAGCAGCAACCCUGCGGCCGGGCUGCAUCUGCAGCUCAACUAUACGCUGCUGGACGGCCGCUACCUGUCUGAGGAACCCGAGCCCUACCUGGCAGUCUACCUGCACUCGGAGCCCCGGCCCAAUGAGCACAACUGCUCGGCUAGCAGGAGGAUCCGCCCAGAGUCACUCCAGGGUGCCGACCACCGGCCCUACACCUUCUUCAUUUCCCCGGGGAGCAGAGACCCAGCGGGGAGUUACCAUCUGAACCUCUCCAGCCACUUCCGCUGGUCAGUGCUGGAGGUGUCCGUGGGCCUGUACACGUCCCUGUGUCAGUACUUCAGCGAGGAGGACAUGGUGUGGAGGACAGAGGGGCUGCUGCCCCUGGAGGAGACCUCGCCCCGCCAGGCCGUCUGCCUCACCCGCCACCUCACCGCCUUCGGCGCCAGCCUCUUCGUGCCCCCAAGCCAUGUCCGCUUUGUCUUUCCGGAGCCGACAGCGGAUGUAAACUACAUCGUCAUGCUGACAUGUGCUGUGUGCCUGGUGACCUACAUGGUCAUGGCCGCCAUCCUGCACAAGCUGGACCAGUUGGAUGCCAGCCGAGGCCGCGCCAUCCCCUUCUGUGGGCAGCGGGGCCGCUUCAAGUACGAGAUCCUCGUCAAGACAGGCUGGGGCCGGGGCUCAGGUACCACGGCCCACGUGGGCAUCAUGCUGUAUGGGGUGGACAGCCGGAGUGGCCACCGGCACCUGGACGGCGACAGAGCCUUCCACCGCAACAGCCUGGACAUCUUCCGGAUCGCCACCCCGCAUAGCCUGGGUAGCGUGUGGAAGAUCCGAGUGUGGCACGACAACAAAGGGCUCAGCCCUGCCUGGUUCCUGCAGCACAUCAUCGUCAGGGACCUGCAGACGGCACGCAGCGCCUUCUUCCUGGUCAAUGACUGGCUUUCGGUGGAGACGGAGGCCAACGGGGGCCUGGUGGAGAAGGAGGUGCUGGCCGCGAGCGACGCAGCCCUGUUGCGCUUCCGGCGCCUGCUGGUGGCUGAGCUGCAGCGCGGCUUCUUUGACAAGCACAUCUGGCUCUCCAUAUGGGACCGGCCGCCUCGUAGCCGUUUCACUCGCAUCCAGAGGGCCACCUGCUGCGUUCUCCUCAUCUGCCUCUUCCUGGGCGCCAACGCCGUGUGGUACGGGGCUGUUGGCGACUCUGCCUACAGCACGGGGCGUGUGUCCAGGCUGAGCCCGCUGAGUGUCGACACAGUCGCUGUUGGCCUGGUGUCCAGCGUGGUUGUCUAUCCCGUCUACCUGGCCAUCCUCUUUCUCUUCCGGAUGUCCCGGAGCAAGGUGGCUGGGAGCCCGAGCCCCACACCUGCCGGGCAGCAGGUGCUGGACAUCGACAGCUGCCUGGACUCGUCCGUGCUGGACAGCUCCUUCCUCACGUUCUCAGGCCUCCACGCUGAGGUGAGGGCUCUACUGGGGGUCCUGGGCUGGGCUGGGGGUCCUGCCGCCUUGGCGCAGCUUGGACUCAAGACACUGUGCACCUCUUAGCAGGCCUUUGCUGGACAGAUGAAGAGUGACUUGUUUCUGGAUGAUUC